rnacentral:lncRNA from 1 species
CAGAGCGGACUUAUGAAACAAUGACGCUCUAGUUCCGUUGCGGGCAUAUACUGAUCUCGAGUCCUUUCUUCAUCUCUGCAAUUGAUGAUUUUCUUCUUUUGCAUCCGUAGAAAGUUCUCACAUUUCCUCUUUAUGUUUAUUUCUCUCAUUUUUUAUUUUCUGUUUUAGUGGGUUGUGAGGAUUUAUUUUUUGUUUUUCCUCUCCUUUACUGAGUCGGGGGUCGACUGGAAACAGCCUCUCUACCCUUUCGGGUAGGGGUAGGGGUUGUUGUUGUUGGGUUGUGAGGAUUUAUAUAUGGCCGAUCCAAUGGGUUCUCGCGUAAUAAAACAUGUGUGGGAGCUCAAUUUCACCCGGCCUAUAUGUAUAGUUAGGGCAGCCUCCUCAAGGUUUUGCACUUCUAUUCAUCGUGUUUUAAUGCACGGAUUCUGCCCUACAUUAUAACUCUAUCUUUUUUAAUCUCUCAACCAUGGCUUUCGG